rnacentral:lncRNA from 1 species
CUUCCAAACAACCCAAACAAAUGACUACCAAAACCGAUAAAUCAGAACCCGUCGGAACUUUCGAAACUUAUCGGGACGCCUCCGAAACCCACAAACUACUCGAAAAAUUCAUGGUCCCUAUUGUAACUAACCGGUAUCCCCAAAUGCAUCAAAACAAGUUCCCGGGUAGCAACGAUCCUCAACAAAAACUAAAAGAUCAACCACACAGAUAUCUGCUGAACUAGAUUUUUUAAAUCGCCGAAACAGGCUUCGAAACCCUCCCGCUGCUAAUCUACGACCUUCGUACUUCGA